rnacentral:rRNA from 1 species
GAAGGGGACUUCGGUUCCCCGGUAGACCGGCGAAGGGGGCAGUAAUACAUGAGUAACCAACCCUCUGGAGGGGGAUAGCUACGGGAAACUGUAGGUAAUACCCAGCGAUGUUAUUGGGAGGCAUCUCCUGAUAAUCAAACGGUGUGAUUCCGCCGGAGGACGGGCUCAUGUGACAUUAGCUAGUUGGUAGGGUAAAGGCCUACCAAGGCAACGAUGUCUAGGGGGUGUGAGAGCACGACCCCCGCCACUGGGACUGAGACACUGCCCAGACACCUACGGGUGGCUGCAGUCGAGAAUCUUCGGCAAUGGGCGCAAGCCUGACCGAGCGACGCCGCGUGGAGGAUGAAGGCCUUCGGGUUGUAAACUUCUGUCAGGGGGGAGGAAAUCCAGGGGGGCUAUCCCUUUUGGUUGACCUAUCCCCAGAGGAAGCACGGGCUAAGUUCGUGCCAGCAGCCGCGGUAAGACGAACCGUGCGAACGUUGUUCGGAAUCAUUGGGCUUAAAGGGCGCGUAGGCGGCAUGUUAAGUCAGUGGUGAAAUCCUACGGCUCAACCGUAGAAUUGCCGCUGAUACUGGCAUGCUUGAGUGAGGUAGGGGUGUGUGGAACUUCCGGUGGAGCGGUGAAAUGCGUUGAUAUCGGAAGGAACGCCCGUGGCGAAUGCGACACACUGGGACUUUUCUGACGCUGAGGCGCGAAAGCUAGGGUACCGAACGGUAUAGAUACCCCGGUAGUCCUAGCCGUGAAGGAGGGUACUAGAGGGUAAUUGCUCCCGAUGUAUUGGUCCUCCAACAAGAGUGGUUC